UACGUAGGCAGCAAGCGUUGUUCGGAGUUACUGGGCGUAAAGGGUGUGUAGGCGGUUUUUUUAAGUUUGGUGUGAAAUCUCCCGGCUCAACUGGGAGGGUGCGCCGAAUACUGAAAGACUAGAGUGCGGGAGAGGAAAGUGGAAUUCCUGGUGUAGCGGUGAAAUGCGUAGAUAUCAGGAGGAACACCGGUGGUGUAGACGGCUUUCUGGACCGUAACUGACGCUGAGACACGAAGCGUGGGUAGCAAACAGG
rnacentral:rRNA from 1 species